rnacentral:rRNA from 1 species
UACGUAGGUGACAAGCGUUGUCCGGAUUUACUGGGCGUAAAGAGCGCGCAGGCGGUCGAUCAAGUCGAGUGUGAAAGCCCCCGGCUCAACUGGGGAGGGUCAUUCGAUACUGAUCGACUCGAAGGCAGGAGAGGGUAGUGGAAUUCCCGGUGUAGUGGUGAAAUGCGUAGAUAUCGAGAGGAACACCUGCGGCGAAGGCGGGUUGCUGGGCUGACACUGACGCUGAGGCGCGAAAGCUAGGGGAGCGAACGGG